rnacentral:rRNA from 1 species
UUAAGCGACUAAGCGUACACGGUGGAUGCCCUGGCAGUCAGAGGCGAUGAAGGGCGUGCUAAUCUGCGAUAAGCGCCGGUAAGGUGAUAUGAACCGUUAUAACCGGCGAUACCCGAAUGGGGAAACCCAGUGUGAUUCGUCACACUAUCAUUAACUGAAUCCAUAGGUUAAUGAGGCGAACCGGGGGAACUGAAACAUCUAAGUACCCCGAGGAAAAGAAAUCAACCGAGAUUCCCCCAGUAGCGGCGAGCGAACGGGGAGGAGCCCAGAGCCUGAAUCAGCAUGUGUGUUAGUGGAAGCGUCUGGAAAGGCGCGCGAUACAGGGUGACAGCCCCGUACACAAAAGCGCAUGUGCUGUGAGCUCGAUGAGUAGGGCGGGACACGUGGUAUCCUGUCUGAAUAUGGGGGGACCAUCCUCCAAGGCUAAAUACUCCUGACUGACCGAUAGUGAACCAGUACCGUGAGGGAAAGGCGAAAAGAACCCCGGCGAGGGGAGUGAAAAAGAACCUGAAACCGUGUACGUACAAGCAGUGGGAGCUGAGGGAAAGGCGAAAAGAACCCCGGCGAGGGGAGUGAAAAAGAACCUGAAACCGUGUACGUACAAGCAGUGGGAGCCCCACCACUAAGCCAGUGGUGAACUCCACAUACGCAUCCUUUGCUGAGGAUACGGUUAACGGAGCGCAAGCGACGUUCAACCGCAAAAGAAGCAGAGGGGGCUUAGUGGUGGGGUGACUGCGUACCUUUUGUAUAAUGGGUCAGCGACUUAUAUUCUGUAGCAAGGUUAACCGUAUAGGGGAGCCGGAGGGAAACCGAGUCUUAAUUGGGCGUUAAGUUGCAGGGUAUAGACCCGAAACCCGGUGAUCUAGCCAUGGGCAGGUUNAGGGAAACCGAGUCUUAAUUGGGCGUUAAGUUGCAGGGUAUAGACCCGAAACCCGGUGAUCUAGCCAUGGGCAGGUUGAAGGUUGGGUAACACUAACUGGAGGACCGAACCGACUAAUGUUGAAAAAUUAGCGGAUGACCUGUGGCUGGGGGUGAAAGGCCAAUCAAACCGGGAGAUAGCUGGUUCUCCCCGAAAGCUAUUUAGGUAGCGCCUCGUGAAUUCAUCUCCGGGGGUAGAGCACUGUUUCGGCUAGGGGGCCAUCCCGGCUUACCAACCCGAUGCAAACUGCGAAUACCGGAGAAUGUUAUCACGGGAGACACACGGCGGGUGCUAACGUCCGUCGUGAAGAGGGAAACAACCCAGACCGCCAGCUAAGGUCCCAAAGUCAUGGUUAAGUGGGAAACGAUGUGGGAAGGCCCAGACAGCCAGGAUGUUGGCUUAGAAGCAGCCAUCAUUUAAAGAAAGCGUAAUAGCUCACUGGUCGAGUCGGCCUGCGCGGAAGAUGUAACGGGGCUAAACCAUGCACCGAAGCUGCGGCAGCGAGUAAUAGCUCACUGGUCGAGUCGGCCUGCGCGGAAGAUGUAACGGGGCUAAACCAUGCACCGAAGCUGCGGCAGCGAACGUAUCACUUAAAGCGAUUCAGCGGGUUACGAUUGACGGAGCGAAGCGACGUCAAAGCGUAUACAAAGUCGAGUCGGUUUAAGGAUACGUUCGUUGGGUAGGGGAGCGUUCUGUAAGCCUGUGAAGGUGGCCUGUGAGGGUUGCUGGAGGUAUCAGAAGUGCGAAUGCUGACAUAAGUAACGAUAAAGCGGGUGAAAAGCCCGCUCGCCGGAAGACCAAGGGUUCCUGUCCAACGUUAAUCGGGGCAGGGUGAGUCGACCCCUAAGGCGAGGCCGAAAGGCGUAGUCGAUGGGAAACGGGUUAAUAUUCCCGUACUUGGUGUUACUGCGAAGGGGGGACGGAGAAGGCUAUGUUGGCCGGGCGACGGUUGUCCCGGUUUAAGCGUGUAGGUGUGUGUUCCAGGUAAAUCCGGUUCACUUUAACACUGAGGCGUGAUGACGAGGCACUACGGUGCUGAAGCAACAAAUGCCCUGCUUCCAGGAAAAGCCUCUAAGCAUCAGGUAACAUCAAAUCGUACCCCAAACCGACACAGGUGGUCAGGUAGAGAAUACCAAGGCGCUUGAGAGAACUCGGGUGAAGGAACUAGGCAAAAUGGUGCCGUAACUUCGGGAGAAGGCACGCUGACAUGUAGGUGAAGUGAUUUACUCAUGGAGCUGAAGUCAGUCGAAGAUACCAGCUGGCUGCAACUGUUUAUUAAAAACACAGCACUGUGCAAACACGAAAGUGGACGUAUACGGUGUGACGCCUGCCCGGUGCCGGAAGGUUAAUUGAUGGGGUCAGCGCAAGCGAAGCUCCUGAUCGAAGCCCCGGUAAACGGCGGCCGUAACUAUAACGGUCCUAAGGUAGCGAAAUUCCUUGUCGGGUAAGUUCCGACCUGCACGAAUGGCGUAAUGAUGGCCAGGCUGUCUCCACCCGAGACUCAGUGAAAUUGAACUCGCUGUGAAGAUGCAGUGUACCCGCGGCAAGACGGAAAGACCCCGUGAACCUUUACUAUAGCUUGACACUGAACAUUGAGCCUUGAUGUGUAGGAUAGGUGGGAGGCUUUGAAGCGUGGACGCCAGUCUGCGUGGAGCCGGCCUUGAAAUACCACCCUUUAAUGUUUGAUGUUCUAACGUGGACCCGUGAUCCGGGUUGCGGACAGUGUCUGGUGGGUAGUUUGACUGGGGCGGUCUCCUCCUAAAGAGUAACGGAGGAGCACGAAGGUUGGCUAAUCCUGGUCGGACAUCAGGAGGUUAGUGCAAUGGCAUAAGCCAGCUUGACUGCGAGCGUGACGGCGCGAGCAGGUGCGAAAGCAGGUCAUAGUGAUCCGGUGGUUCUGAAUGGAAGGGCCAUCGCUCAACGGAUAAAAGGUACUCCGGGGAUAACAGGCUGAUACCGCCCAAGAGUUCAUAUCGACGGCGGUGUUUGGCACCUCGAUGUCGGCUCAUCACAUCCUGGGGCUGAAGUAGGUCCCAAGGGUAUGGCUGUUCGCCAUUUAAAGUGGUACGCGAGCUGGGUUUAGAACGUCGUGAGACAGUUCGGUCCCUAUCUGCCGUGGGCGCUGGAGAACUGAGGGGGGCUGCUCCUAGUACGAGAGGACCGGAGUGGACGCAUCACUGGUGUUCGGGUUGUCAUGCCAAUGGCACUGCCCGGUAGCUAAAUGCGGAAGAGAUAAGUGCUGAAAGCAUCUAAGCACGAAACUUGCCCCGAGAUGAGUUCUCCCUGAGACUUAAAGUCUCCUGAAGGAACGUUGAAGACGACGACGUUGAUAGGCCGGGUGUGUAAGCGCAGCGAUGCGUUGAGCUAACCGGUACUAAUGAACCGUGAGGCUUAACCUU